rnacentral:rRNA from 1 species
UACAGAGGGGGCAAGCGUUGUUCGGAAUUACUGGGCGUAAAGGGCGCGUAGGCGGCCUGCUAAGUCGAACGUGAAAUCCCCGGGCUCAACCCGGGAACUGCGUCCGAUACUGGCAGGCUUGAAUCCGGGAGAGGGAUGUGGAAUUCCAGGUGUAGCGGUGAAAUGCGUAGAUAUCUGGAGGAACACCGGUGGCGAAGGCGGCAUCCUGGACCGGUAUUGACGCUGAUGCGCGAAAGCGUGGGGAGCAAACAGG